GCCUGGACAGUUCAGCUGGUAGAGCAUCAGACUUUUAAUCUGAGGGUCCAGGGUUCAAGUCCCUGUUCAGCUG
rfam:Cricetulus griseus cell line CHO-K1, whole genome shotgun sequence.